rnacentral:rRNA from 1 species
AUGGUGCUCGCGGAGCUGGGCGGUAGCAUCUCCCGCGCGCUGGCGCGGAUGAGCAGCGCGACGGUGGUCGACGAGAACGUGCUCCGGGAGUGCCUCAACGAGAUCGCGCGCGCGCUAAUGCAGGCCGACGUCCGCUUCAAGAUGGUCUGCGACCUGCAGGCCAACAUCAAGAAGUCCGUCAACCUCGAGGCCCUCGCCGCCGGCACCAACAAGCGCCGCGUCAUAGAGACCGCCGUCGGGAAGGAGCUCUGCAAGAUGCUGGAUCCCGGGAAGCCCGCCUUCGUCCCCAAGAAGGGCAAGCCCAACGUCGUCAUGUUCGUCGGACUGCAAGGCUCUGGGAAAACCACCACAUGUACCAAAUACGCGCAUUAUCAUCAGCGCAAGGGAUUCAAGCCGUCACUGGUUUGCGCCGAUACGUUCCGGGCCGGUGCUUUCGAUCAGUUGAAGCAGAACGCAACCAAGGCCAAGAUACCUUUCUACGGAAGCUACAUGGAAUCAGACCCUGUCAAGAUUGCUGUGGAGGGCCUGGAAAAGUUCAGGCAAGAGAAAUCUGAUCUCAUCAUCAUCGACACGAGUGGGCGCCAUAUGCAGGAGGCUGCGCUCUUCGAGGAGAUGCGCCAAGUUGCGGAAGCAACGAAACCAGACCUGGUGAUAUUUGUGAUGGAUGGCAGCAUUGGUCAGGCUGCAUUCGAUCAGGCACAGGCAUUCAAACAGAGUGCUUCCGUUGGAGCUGUGAUUAUCACGAAAAUGGAUGGUCAUGCGAAAGGAGGCGGUGCACUGAGCGCGGUUGCAGCUACGAAAAGCCCGGUGAUAUUUAUUGGAACUGGAGAACACAUUGAUGAAUUUGAUGUUUUCAAUGUGGAACCAUUUGUCGGCCGUCUGCUAGGUAGAGGAGACUUGCCUGGCUUACUCGACAAGAUGGAAAGUAUUGUGCCUGCUGAUCAACAAUCUGAGCUUGUGGCAAAGCUGGCUGAAGGAGCCUUCACUCUCAGACUUAUGUAUGAGCAAUUCCAGAAUCUCCUGAAAAUGGGGCCAAUGGGCCAGAUCUUCUCCAUGCUGCCCGGGUUUAGCUCGGAGCUGAUGCCAAAGGGACAGGAGAAACAAAGCAAAGAAAAGAUCAAGCGGUACAUGACGAUCAUGGACUCCAUGACAGCCGCAGAGCUCGACAGCAAGAACCCGAAGCUGAUGACCGAGUCGCGGAUCCUCCGGGUCGCUCGAGGGUCGGGCAGGCAAGUGAAGGACGUGACGGACAUGCUGGAAGAGUACAAGCGACUGGCCAAGAUGUGGAGCAAGCUGAAUGUGUCGAAAUUGAUACCGCCGAACGGAAAGAUGAGUGAUCAGGCCAUCCAGAAGAUGCUCAAAGCCAUGCCGCCGCAAGUGGUGCAGCAGAUGGGGGGCAAAAGUGCCUUCGAGGCUCUGGUGAAGCAAAUGGGCGGCAAGGACAUGAGCAAAAUGCUUGCUGGCAUGAAGGGUGGUGCUUAG